rnacentral:rRNA from 1 species
AUUGAACGCUGGCGGCAGGCUUAACACAUGCAAGUCGGACGAGUGGCGAACGGGUGAGUAACGUAUCGGAACGUACCCAGUAAUGGGGGAUAACUGUCCGAAAGGACAGCUAAUACCGCAUAUUAUUCGAGCGGCCGAUAUCUGAUUAGCUGGUUGGGGGGGUAAAGGCCAACCAAGGCGACGAUCAGUAGCGGGUCUGCGAGGAUGAUCCGCCACACUGGGACUGAGAACAGGCCCAGACUCCUACGGGAGGCAGCGGUGGGGAAUUUUGGACAAUGGGGGCAAGCCUGAUCCAGCCAGCCCGCGUGUCUGAAGAAGGCCUUCGGGUUGUAAAGUACGUUUGUCAGGGAAGCGGUACCUGAAGAAUAAGCACCGGCUAACUACGUGCCAGCAGCCGCGGUAAUUC